rnacentral:rRNA from 1 species
CCCCUAGAUGUUCUGGGCCGCACGCGCGCUACACUGAACAGUUCAACAAGUCUUAACCUUGGCCGAUAGGUCUGGGUAAUCUUUGAACGCUGUUCGUGAUUGGGAUAGACCUUUGCAAUUAUGGGUCUUCAACGAGGAAUUCCUAGUAAACGCAAGUCAUCAGCUUGCAUUGAUUACGUCCCUGCCCUUUGUACACACCGCCCGUCGCACCUACCGAUUGGAUGGUCCGGUGAGAAUUUCGGAUUGUAGAUACGUCGCUUUUAUUAGGGAUGUGUCCGCGAGAAGUUAUUCAAACCUUACCAUCUAGAGGAAGGUGAAGUCGUAACA